GAUGAACGCUGGCGGCGUGCCUAAUACAUGCAAGUCGAGCGAACAGACGAGGAGCUUGCUCCUCUGACGUUAGCGGCGGACGGGUGAGUAACACGUGGAUAACCUACCUAUAAGACUGGGAUAACUUCGGGAAACCGGAGCUCAUACCGGAUAAUAUAUUGAACCGCAUGGUUCAAUAGUGAAAGACGGUUUUGCUGUCACUUAUAGAUGGAUCCGCGCCGCAUUAGCUAGUUGGUAAGGUAACGGCUUACCAAGGCAACGAUGCGUAGCCGACCUGAGAGGGUGAUCGGCCACACUGGAACUGAGACACGGUCCAGACUCCUACGGGAGGCAGCAGUAGGGAAUCUUCCGCAAUGGGCGAAAGCCUGACGGAGCAACGCCGCGUGAGUGAUGAAGGUCUUCGGAUCGUAAAACUCUGUUAGUAGGGAAGAACAAAUGUGUAAGUAACUAUGCACGUCUUGACGGUACCUAAUCAGAAAGCCACGGCUAACUACGUG
rnacentral:rRNA from 1 species